rnacentral:tRNA from 1 species
UGAUGCAUAGUUCAAUGGGAAGAACGCCGCUCUACGAAAGCGGGGGUUGCAGGUUCGAAGCCUGCUGCAUCAGCCA